GGGGCAGCGGCGGACGGGUGAGUAACGCGUGGGAACGUGCCCUUUGGUACGGAACAACUGAGGGAAACUUCAGCUAAUACCGUAUGUGCCCUUCGGGGGAAAGAUUUAUCGCCAUUGGAGCGGCCCGCGUUAGAUUAGCUAGUUGGUAGGGUAAUGGCCUACCAAGGCGACGAUCUAUAGCUGGUCUGAGAGGAUGAUCAGCCACACUGGGACUGAGACACGGCCCAGACUCCUACGGGAGGCAGCAGUAGGGAAUCUUGCGCAAUGGGCGAAAGCCUGACGCAGCCAUGCCGCGUGAAUGAUGAAGGUCUUAGGAUUGUAAAAUUCUUUCACCGGGGACGAUAAUGACGGUACCCGGAGAAGAAGCCCCGGCUAACUUCGUGCCAGCAGCCGCGGUAAUACGAAGGGGGCUAGCGUUGCUCGGAAUUACUGGGCGUAAAGGGAGCGUAGGCGGAUAGUUUAGUCAGAGGUGAAAGCCCAGGGCUCAACCUUGGAAUUGCCUUUGAUACUGGCUAUCU
rnacentral:rRNA from 1 species